rnacentral:rRNA from 2 species
GGUACGCGAGCUGGGUUUAGAACGUCGUGAGACAGUUCGGUCCCUAUCUGCCGUGGGCGCUGGAGAACUGAGGGGGGCUGCUCCUAGUACGAGAGGACCGGAGUGGACGCAUCACUGGUGUUCGGGUUGUCAUGCCAAUGGCACUGCCCGGUAGCUAAAUGCGGAAGAGAUAAGUGCUGAAAGCAUCUAAGCACGAAACUUGCCCCGAGAUGAGUUCUCCCUGAGACUUAGAGUCUCCUGAAGGAACGUUGAAGACGACGACGUUGAUAGGCCGGGUGUGUAAGCGCAGCGAUGCGUUGAGCUAACCGGUACUAAUGAACCGUGAGGCUUAACCUUACAACGCCGAAG